GGUCCCUCUAGGUGCCCUGCUGGGCUGCAAACCAGCCACGGACGGACGGAGGAGAUGGCAGAAGAGGCCUAUCAAGCAAUUCCAGUUCUUUUUGUCUUCAUUUUCAAUCCAAGUGAAUGCAUUGGAGAUGGGACUAAAAUCUGUUUGGGAAAACAGAACCAUCUGGGAUCACUGGUCAGAGUUCUGAAUAGUGUACAAAGAAGAAAAGAAAAUGUGCUGACUUCUGAUAAAUGGGAAGAUGGUUACUUGGCUUAAUUGCAACCAGUUGAGAGGGUUCUUUUGUCUGCUUUUUUCCCUCAACUUUUUCUUUAAAUCAGUGUUAUGCAACUGUCCCCAGCGACUCCAGAAAGCCCAGCUGAAAUGUCUGUUGUCCUUUGCUGCUACUGCCUCUCCACCCACCCUGGCUUCACAGAGCAGGGUGUUGUAGCCAGUAGGAUCCCUAUGCAUUUAUUUCUGUUACAGGUAGAUGAGGUGCUCAAAUGUGAAACAUUAAACCCACUUCUUUUUGUAUUUCUCAGAUGCUAAGUAUUUGUUCUCUGAUUCAACAUAUUCAUUAAAUCCAAACAUUUACUCAACACCCACCAUGUGCCAGGCCCUCUUGAAGGCGCUGGGAUUGCUAAGGCAAAUGAGACACAGAUCUGCCUUCAAAGAGCUCCAGCUUAUUGGGAGAGCAGAGAAAUAUUACUAACACAUGGCUGCAGAGGAGGACAGAGCAUGGAGAAAGGCUUUGAAGAGAGUACCAAACGAUAUGGAGGUGACCUUCCAUGAGGGAAAACAAGAGAGAGGAGCAUGAGUGAGAGGGAAAAUGUAAUGGAGAAAAAGGAGCAGCCAGCUGGGUGUUUGUUUGAAAAACUCAGUCUCUUUGAUGUACGCUGGCUGAAGGCUCCUGGUGUGUUGGUGUAAAUCGCAGACAACUUUAUCUUGGAAGUAACCAACUUUACCACGAAGUAACCUCAGUAGGUGGAAGCCUUAAUCGGAAGAACCUUUCUAACCUUGAGAGAUGUGAGAAAGGCUAAGCCAAGAUAGUAAAGCUGAGCACUGUGUUUAUACAACACCUUGUCCGGAGAAACCCAUAACAUUUCCCUCCCAUUAAGAUUGGUUCUUUUUAGUAACUAAAAGUCAACAAAAGUUUUGCAGUUUGGGAAAGAAUUCCUCAUUUAUAGAAGAUGUCAUAGUUGGGAAGUCCUGAACGUCUGCUUAUAAUGAAAAACAUGGGGAUCAAAACACUGUGAGGAGCAUGAAGGAGCUGGAGCUGUGUAAUUUUGGCCAGAACAGCUAUGACCACAGCUGGGACACGACGCUGGUGAUGAAACCUUGAAUAUUUAAAAGGAGGCUGAGAGAGGAGGAGAAUGAUGAAUGAGCUCAGGAAGACAUGAUGGCUUCUGCAAUGGCACUAAUAAAUGGAAUGUAGACUCCAACUCCAGAUUUUGAAAUGGAAACUUAACUACAAGUGAACAAACAAGAAAAAUGAAUGAGACUCCAGAGUCCUGCAAACACUGCUUCACACCCUCCACCUAGAGGCAUCUUCUGGACUUCAGGCCAAGAGGCUGAUACUACACUCUAAGGAAAAUUGACUGCAUUUCAAGUAAUAGCUUACUUGGGUACAGGUCUGAGCACCUCAGCAAUAGAGCUGGGGGCUUUUAUGCCAAGGAUCUUCAGGGCAUAUGAAGGCAAAUAUUCUCCAUAUAUUUUCCCGUGAUUUCCUGAGAAACAGAGAUCUGCUGGAAUAGUCCAUGGUGGAAAAUGAAGCACAGGUAUUGUUUUUUUAAUCAAUAUAUUGAUUGAUCUAUUAAGUGAUGACAGCGGUUAAUUUUACAUCAGCUUGACUGGGCUAAGGGAUGCCACACUGCAGGCAAAAUUCUAUUCCUGUGUGUCUGUGAGGGUGUUCUCAGAAGAGAUUAGCAAUUGAACUGGUAGACACAGUAAAGAAGAUUGCCUCCACCAGUGUGGGUGGGCAUCAUCCAAUCCAGUGAGGGUCUGAAUAGAACAAAAAGCUGAAGAAUGGGCAUAUUUGCUCACUUUUCUUGAGCUUGGCCGACUUUCUUCUCCUGUUCUCAGACAUCUAUUCUCCUGGCCUUUGGACUUAGACCAGGACUUACACUACCACCUCCUCUGGUUCUCAGACCUUUGGACUUGGAUUGAAUUAUGCUAAGACCUUUCCUUCUCCUGCUUGAGAUGGCAGAUUGUGGAACUUGUCCUUCACGAUUGCAUGAGCCAAUUCCUAUAACACAUUUCCUUUUAAAUAUACCAAUACAUACCCUAUUUUUUCUGUUUCUCUGGAGAAAACUAAUACAGUGAUCCUGGAUUGAGGCUCUUAUCCCUCCAUUUUACUGGCCCAUUUGUGUAAUGUUGUCUCCCACUGUCUGUUGAUGUCACUUUCUCACCACCCUCCCUCUGAGGUCCCAUGGUCAAGCCACCAUCACCUCCUUUUUAAAAAAAGAGCUUUGUUGGGGUAUAAUGCACAUACUGUAAAUUCAUCAAUUAUAAGUAUAUGUUCAGUAAUUUCUAAGAAAUGUACAGAAUUAUGUAAUCAUUAGCACAGUUUUAGGAUAUCUCCAUCACCCCAAAACAUUUCUUUGUGCCUAUUUGCAGUCAAUUCUGUUCCCACUUUCAAUCCCAGGCAACUACUGCCCUGUUUUCUGUGUCUAUAGAUUUGCCUUUUCUGGGUAUUUCAUUUAAAUCAGUACAUAGUGUUUCAUGUGUGUCUUCUUUCACUUAGCAUGAUGCUUCUGAGGCUUGGCUAUGCUGCAGCAUGAGUUGGUAGUUUGCUCCUUCUCAUUGCUGAUAGGAUUUCACUGCAUGGACAUAACACAUUGGUCUCUCCUUUCACUAGUCAGUGGAUAUUUGGAUUGUUCCCAAUUUGGGGCUAUUAUGAACCUUAAUGUAUAAAGUUGUGAACCUUAAUAUAUAAGUCUUUCUAUGCAUAUAUGUUGGGAUUUCUCUUAUGUAGAUAUCUAGAUGUGGAAUUGCUAGAUUGUAAGUGUAUGUUUAUAGGAAGCCAUCAAACUGUUUUCCAAAGUGGCUGUGCCGUUCUCCAUUCCCACAGGUAUGAGGAUUCUUAUUUCUCCACAUCUUCAACACCACUUAUUGUCUGUCUUUUUUAUUCUAGCCAUUGUAGUGGGGGUGGUAGUACCUCACUGUGGUUUUAAAUUCCAUCUCCCUAAUGAUUUAAUGAUGUUGAGCAUCUUUUCAUGUGUUUAUUAGCUCUUCCUAUGUUUUCUUUGGUGAAAAUGUUUUUUCAAGUCUUUUGGCCAUUUUUAAAUUGGAUUGUCUUCUUAUUCUUUAGUUAUAUGAGUUAUUUAUAUAGUAUGAUUAUGAGUCUUUUAUCAAAAGAUGAUAAUUUAUGAAACUUUUCUCCCAAUUUGUGCCUUGCCUUUUCAUUUUCUUGAUCAUACCUUUUAGAAGAGCAAAAGUUUUGAUUUUGAUAAAGCCCAGUUAUCAAUGUUUUCUUUCAUACAUCAUGCUUUUUCUGUCAUGUACCAGAAAUCUAUGCCUAAACCAAUGUCCCUAAAUUUUUUUCUUAUGUUUUCCUCUAAAAGUUUUUAAUUACACUUCUACAUUGUCUAUGAUCCAUUCUGAGUUAAUUUUUGUGUAUGGUAUAAAGUUAUUGUCUAUGUACUUUUUAUUUUUAUUUAUUUUUUGCAUAUGAAUACCAACUGUCUCAGCACUAUUAUUUGGAAAGGCUGUCCUCUCCCCCACUGAACUGCCUUGACACAUUUGUCAAAAUUCAUUUGACCAUAAGUGUGAGAGCUUACAUCUGGACUCUCAUUUCUGUUUCAUUGAUCUAUGUGAUUAUCCUACACCAAGACCACAUUGUCUUGAUUACUGUAGCUUUAUGGCAAAUUUGAAAUUGGGUAAUAUAAGGACUCUUCUUUUUCAAGAUUGUUUCAGCUAUUCUAUGGUUUUUGCAUUUUCUUACGCAUUUUAAAAUAAACCUGUCAAUUUCUACAAAACAGCCUGAUGGCAGUUUUAUAGAGAUUGAAUUAAAUCUAUAGAUCCUUCUGGAGAAAAUUGUCAUUAUAAAAAUAUUGAGUCAUUCAUGAAUAUGGAAUAUUCUCCAUUUAUUCAGUGGUGUUUUGUAGUUUUUAUGUACAAGUCCUACUUUACACUUCUUUUGUUAAAUUGAUUCCUAAAUAUUUUAUUAUUUUUGAUGCUACUGUGAAUAGAAUUCAUUUUUUAAUCCCGUUUUUGGAUCAUUCCUUGCUAAUAUAUAGAAAUACAAUUGAUUUUUGUACAUUGAUCCUGUAUGCUGUUUAUUCCUUGCUAAACUUGUUUAUUAGUUCUAAUAGAUCUUUUUACAUGUGGAUUUCUUAGGAUUUUCUACAUACGAGAUCAUGUUGUUAGUAAAUAAAAGCAGUUUUACUUCUUCUGUUCCAAUUGAUAUGCCUUUAAUUUUUUUUCUUAAUUUAAUGAGCUAAUUGGAAUUUCAGUACAAUGUUGAAUAGGAGGAGUAAGAGUGAAUGUCCUUCCCUUAUUCCCAAUCUUAGUGGGAAAACAUUCAGUCUUUCAUUAUACCAUAUGAUACUAGUUACGCAUUAGUUGUAGAUGACUUUAAUCAGGUUAAAGAACUUCCCUUGUAUUCCUAGCUUGCUGAUAGUUUUUAAUCAUGAGUGGUUGCUCGUUCUUGUUAAAUGCUUUUUCUGUGUCUAUUAAGAUAAUCAUAUGGGGUUUAUCUUUCAUUCUAUUAAUAUUGUGCAUUGCAUUAAUUGAAUUUUGAGCACUAAACCAGCCUUAUAUAACUCUUCAACAACACUUACUGCCUUUCUUUUUUAUUAUAGCCAUUCUAGUAAGGAGUAGUAGUAGUAUUUCAUUUUAGUUUUAAAUUAUAUCUCUCUAAUGAUUUAAUGAUGUUGAACAUCUUUUCAUGUGCUUAUUAGCUCUCGGUGUGGCAUGUAAUUAUUUUUAUAUAUUUUUGGAUUCAGUUUUUAAAAUUUUAAGGACUUUUGCAUAUAAUUUCAUGGAGAUAGUGAUCUAUAGUUUUCUUGAGAUCUUUGUCUAACUUUUGUAUCAGGGCACUACUGGGCUCACAGCAUGUGUUUGGAAGUGUUUCCUUAUCCUUUAUUUUUGGUAAGUAAAGAAUUAGAAUUCUUCUUUUCUAAAUAUUUGGUAGAAUUUACCAGUGAAUCUGUCUGGGACUGAAUUUUUUGCUAGAUAAUUUCUAUCAAUUAUUGAGAGUGGAGAUUAAAAUCUCCACUCACUGUGGGAAGAUUUUAAAUUACUAACUCAAAUUCCUUAUUUAUUAAAGGUCUAGUCAGAUUUUCUGUUUCUUCUUGAGUCAGUUUCAGUAGUUUAUCUCUUUCUACAAAUAUGUCUAUUUCUUAUAGGUUGUCUAAUUUGAUACAAAGUAGUCCAUAAUAUUCAUUUACAAUUCUUAAUUUUUGUAAGGAUGGUAAGAAUUGCCCCUUUUUUACUGAUUUUGGUAAUUUGUGUCUUCCUUUUUAAAUUUUCUGGUCAGUCUAGGUAAAGAUUUAUCAACUGUAUUGAUCUUUUCAAGUGACUGACUUUGAUUUUCUCUGUUGUUUUCUGUUUUCUGUUCUAAUCGUUAUUAUUCCCUUUCUUUUGCUUGUUUUGGAUUUAUUAGCUUCUCUAUUUCUAUUUUCUUAUGGUAGAUGUUUAAGUUAUUGAUUUAAGAUUUUUCUCCUGUUCUAAGGUAGGUAUUUAUAUAGCUAUAUAUUGCCCUGUAAUCACUACGUUGGCUGUAACCCACAAAUUUUGAUAUGUUGAAUUUUCCUUUCAUUCAGCCCAAAAUAUUUUAAAUAUUUCCUCUGGUGUUUUACUUUGACAAAUAGAUUAUUUGGAUGUGUUUUGUUUGAUUUCCAAGUAUUUGGUAAUUCCAAAUUUCUUUCUGUUGUUUUCUAAUUUAAUUACAUUGUAGUUAGAGAAUAUACUUUGUAUGAUUUUAAACAUAUUAAAUUUACUAGAACUUGUUUUGUGACCUAAUAUAUGGUCACUUCUGGAAUAUGUUCCAUAUAUUUGAAAAGAAUGCCUAUUCUUCUGUCAUUGGAUGGAAUGUUUUAUAAAUAUCAGUGAGGUCAGGUGUUAUUUAAGUUUUCUGUAUGGUUGCUGAUUUUCUGUCUAGUUUUUCUAUCAAUUAUUGAGAGUGGAGUAUUAAAAUCUCCAACUGUCAUGUUUGAGCACUAUCGCCUCUUGUUUAGGCUAUUAUAAGGGAUUAGCACUUUGCUUUAUUUACCUCCACAGGACUUAUCCUUAUCUGACUCAGUAUAUAUUUUACUUACACACUAGAAUAUACAGCUCCCAUGAUGGCAGGGAUUUCUGCCACUUUUCAUCACUGUGAUAUGCCUAGCAUGUAACAGUGCCUGACACAUAUCAGUCACUCACAAAUAUUUGUUGCAUGGAUAAAUGUAUCACCAAACAGACGGCACUCACUAUUUUCUUGGGUGAAUACAAAACUCCUCAUUCCUACCACUUGGUGAUCUGAAAAGAGUCCCUUUGGAAUACUGAGAUGGAUUAAAGGCAAAGGUGGGAAAUAUAAGGGGUACCUAUGCAUUGGGCCAUAUGCAGAAACUACCCCUAUUCCCUCAUGUUUUCCUUUUGAGUUUAUCUCUCCUUGCAUUUCAUAGUCAUCAAAGCAGUAGACACCUGAGGGCCAGGACUGGAUGCAGGUGUUAAGGAACAAGGCCACUGUUCUUGAUUUUGAUCCAGGCUAUUUGGGUGCCUUCUCCAGGCAAAGGAAUCCCUCUGGCAUCUGGUGGCCUGUGUAGUUCAGUGGGGGUUAAUUCCCAAGCAGAGAGGGUAAGGAGGGGCUAAAACUUCAAAGUAAUAAGCAGAGUGGUUUUCCCUUCCAUAUAUACUUUUCUCUCCUGACCUUUGGGAGGUAGCCUUAGUUGGCUGGUCCACGAUUGGGUGUUUAUGAUCCCUACUACAUAUAAUUCUGUCUUAGCAGAACUGACGCUGUCUACUCAGGUGUAUAUCCUGAGGUAACCUUGAAAUGUUAUGUUUAUCCUGCUUUGGAAGGCUGUUCUAUACAACAUCAGGGAAAAAAAUCCAGCAUGUGCUGUUUGUUCAGUGCUUGGCAUAUUAUAUCAAGAUAUUUUACAUGUAUUUAGCAAUUAUAUAUUUUAUAGAUCUAUAUGCUUAAUCAGUUAAAAAUAAAAUAUUAACUGAUAUUUUUCUUUUACUCAUUAAAGUUAGGCCUAAGUUUUGUAAACUGUUCUUAUAGGGUCUUUAAAAUCAACUGGAGCUCAUAGGAGAGGUCUGGACUGAAGACAAGAAUUCGGGCACCAUAUAUGAAUAUAAAAACAUAAUAAUUAAAGGUGUUAGGAUCUAUCUGAUCCUCUAACGAGUGAGAAAGGGAGAGAACCUAGGGUGAAACCUUGAGAAUUUAACUUUUAGUAGUUGAUUAGAGGAUGAUGAGCCAGAAAAGGCAGGGAAGGCACAUUUGGAGAGGCAGGAGGACAUUAUACCCCAGCAGGUGUGUGUCCACUUCCUGAAAACAUGCAGUUCCCGUGGCACACCUUGCUUUGGAGGAGUCUAACUCCUAGUAAAUUGCUUGUCAUUUAAUUACAAAUUCUCAUUAAGUGGAUAAUCCUGAAAUUGUUCUUGACCCUGGAUAAAUAGUUCUUAGUCAGAGGUACCUAGAACCCUGGGUGGAUGGAGAGUCUUGUUUACUAAGAUGCUGCGUUUUCAUCAAAAUUAUUUUAUUCCAAUUCGUGUCCCCUUUUAAGAGUGACAUAUCCUUUUCUAAUGACCCUAUUAUCCAUCUACAACUUUUUGGCAUUCUAGUAACAAUCUGAAUAUUUGAUGUCAGUAAAACAUACCAAACAUUGUACAAGUAAAGUUGAAUUAUUAUUGCAGCUUCCCUGGAAAUGAAAUUAUUUCUUGUUUUUGUGUUUAAUGUUUGUGGCAGUAAAAUCCCCAAUGAAUUUUUAUUUUAUUACUUUAGAGUCAGUAACAAAUUUAUUUGUAAAAGUUCUAUUUUAUUUGGUUCACCCACUCAUUCAUCCAUCAAAUAUAUAUUAAGUGUCUAUUAUUUUAUAGACGCUGGGAGUGUUAGGACAACAGGAAUGGUUCUCAAGCUUCAGUGUGCAUUGGAACCACCUGGAAAACUUAUUAAAUAUACAUGUGCUCCAGUGCCACCCCUCAUAUUCAGUAGGUCCCAGGUAGUGCGCAGGAAUCUAUGUUUAGUAAGCUCUCUGUGUGAUUCUGGUGCACAAAAAGUUUUAGAACUAUUGGUCUUUGUAAAAACAUUCAUUGAAAAACUUAAAUGUAAUACAAUAUAAGAGGUGUCAGAUAGAAGCACACACAGGGUAGGGUGUAUAUUAAAUUUUAUUAUAUUCAUAUCUUACCAUAACAGUAAACUGUACACUCAAUAAUAUCGUUGUAAUUUUCCACUGUAAUGGAAUUUUUUGGUAGGGCUUUACAGCACUAGUGGUAUGAUUUAUUUUCAUUAAUAUUGCAGAAAUGUUUAAUGUCCUUAUAAAUGAUCAUAAAGGUAAGAGAAUACUGUAAACAUACAAAUGUCAUUAUAUUCAUGCAUGUAACUCUCUUUAAUGGGAAUGGGGAAAGCAUCUGGCAGUUCUCAUUUAAAUACUAGGGAGCCUAUUCUGUGUUCAUUAUAGGACUGUCCUCUCGUAAUUGAAAAUGUUCUUUCCUUUUCUUUUUUUUCCUUUUUCUGCUUGGGUCCUUUUCCAGCCUGUUGAUUCAACAGUUUCAAACACUGAAAGAACAUUUACAGAAGUUUCUGCUAAAACCAUAGGAAUGAUGCAAAGUACAAAAUUCUUGAAUCUUAUGUUGGGGGAAACAGCUUUCUUUUAAAGACUAAUUCGUGUUUUCUUUUUAAAAAGAGGUGCUUAUUCACCAUGCUGUUCACAAGGAAACUUAGGCUGGGAGGAACAGAUCAGCUCCAUUUUUAUUGUAAGAAAGCUGCAAUAUUCUUUGAUUAUAGGACUUAACAGGGAGAGAUGUUGAUUAAAAGCAACUAUUUAACAAAUCUAAUUUAAAAAUUGAGUGAAAAUAACAGAAUUUGAAAAAACUCGAGAAUUUUUUCAAAAUGUUGCUUCAAAAUGUCUCUCAGUCUCUUGAAUUUGUUUCAAGAAGUACAUUUGCCGAUCACCAAGAUUCCUGACUUUCUCUCCUUCCAGGGCACAGGUAAGGUGUACUUCCCAACCUGCUUUGCAUCAUCAAAGGUUCAUCUGACUAAGUUCUAGCCAAUGGAAUGUGACUGGAAGUGAUGUGAUAUACACCUCUUCCAGGCUCGACGCAUGAAAAUGUCUCACUGUGGUUCUCCAUGCACCUUCUCUGUCUGCUGGAUGAUAACACUCAGGCAACCUUGAAGGCUGCAAGCUGAAAACUGUGGGGACUCUGUCAGCCUAGAUGCUUGAGUAACUGUGCAGGGCAGAGACACCCCACCCCCAUCCUCUCCAUCCCAUUGCCAGUGGACUUAGCUUGAGAGAGAAACAAACUUUCACUUUGCUAAGCCUCCAAAGUGUUGGAUUUGGUUUGUAACUGCAGUUAGCUUGCUUUAACCAAUACAGGAUGUAAGGAUAUAGGCAAGUCUGUACCAUGAGACUGUGCACUGGCCUACUAUUUCUGGAGCCAAAGUCCUGUAAUUCUCCUGCCAAGGCUGCCUUUAACACAAUCCACCACUGAGAAAAUUCUCUGGAAAAGACUCCUCUGCUCCAGAGGUGCAGUACUUAGGCUGUCAGGAGUAUUCUAGUCUUGCAAGGAUAAUUCAAAAGCCCCCAUUCCUCUUAGCUUAUGGGACAUAGUCCUAGAAGCACACAGAAUAUAAAACACUCAAAAAUUCUAACCCCAAAAUUGAGAGAGAACAAAAUUAGAUACAAGGAAACCAGAGGCAUGGCCACAAUGGAGAGGACAUGCAGUGGAGACAGAAUCAGAACACAGUACCACCUCUAAGCCUUAAUUGUACAUGCUAUUAACUGGUGGAUGCUGUCAUUAAAUUUACAAGAAAAUCCUCCUAAAAUUAAAAAAUAUUUUACUGUAUGGAAGUCAGAUAGCAGAUUUCACAGUGUCCGAAGUCAUAGUCCUUAUCACUUACAAAGAGACAUGUUUGCCUUCCCUUUCAAGAUGACGACUGAGCCCUUCCAAAAUGUCUCCUCCCUCCCAUGGAAGCCAGCCUCUCACACGCCAGCGCCCUACCCUCUGAGCGAUCACUCUCGACUGGGGAGCUGUUUUGGUAUUGCCCACUCCAAAUGCAAUCUCCGUGGAUAUAGAAACCAUUUAAGAAUUUGCAAACUGACCUCAUUUUUAAUUUCAGUUUUUUAGAAUAUUCCUCUGUUAAGAAGAGGCAACAGGCCCAAAAUGGAGUCAUUUAUGCCAAGUCCCAUUCACCAUACUGAGACUUAAAACCCAACUUAAUUACAGUUCCAGUCUCUCCCAGGAAUGGAACCUUAAGCAGUCAGUCCCGGACUGCCUGGUCCUCACUAGUGAGGUGCUCUGCCUGAUGGAGCCUUGCCCUCAAGGAAGGUGACCUUGCUGCAACCAGUUUGCUUUCUGCCAGUCUAACUUCCUUCUCCUGCUCCCUGCUGCCUGUCCUUUACUUUGUACAGCUCCUCAGAGCUCCUUUCUAUCCACUAGAUGGGAUGCUGCCUGACUCAUGAAUCACUGAAUAAGGCCAAUUAAGAUCUUUAAAAUAUACUCCAUUGAAUUUUGUUUUUUAACACCUUCAAGCAUUAAAAACCCUUCAGCCAUUAUAGAUGCCUCUCUCUGCUUCCUAGUCCAUUACAUAAAAUAGCUACCACCCAAGCAACAGUUAUUCUGUUCCAGGCAGGGUGCAUGGUCUUGGCAUACAUUAUCUUAUUUAAUCUUCAUGAGAUAGGUACUAUUGUCCCAUUGUGCAGAUGGAAAAACUGAGGCACCAAAGGUUAAGCAACUUGAACAAGCUCAUACAGCUAGUAAGGAGCAAAACCAGCAUUCAAACCUGAGCACUCUGAAUGCCCAAACCUCCACUCUUGACCACUGUACCAUACUGCCUCUACUUCCACUCGGCAAAUUUUUGUUCAUGGAAGACACCUCUUGGGAGAGUAGCUAGUGCUUCAGAAGGAUCAAUAAAUAAAUUCCUGUCGGUCAGAGCUUCAUAGCUUCACGUGUUUUCAUUCUGGCACUUUUGGAAUUUGGGAACCUCUCACCGUGGUCCUAGUGUCCGUCCACAGAGGUACCUCCCUUCUGUAAAUCUUGGCAGCUCUCUGGCAUGGUGAAAUCUCGGGGCUGUUGCCACAAUCUUCCAGAAAAUAGGAGCUUCUCAGCUCCAGAACGUUCCUAACACUCAGGAGAAGAGCUGUGCUGCAGGCCAAUCUGUCGGAGUGUCUAUAUUUAGCACCAUCUGCCAGGAAUAUUCCAAACUGCCUAUUUCAGCACAUGCCGUUUUGUGCAAACGGGACUGCUCCACCACUAGCUCGAGGGAGACCAAGGGCACAAAGGGGAUUUUCCGGUUUUGAUGUCAUUAAAUGUUGCGAGUUGGCUCUUCAGCCAACCUGCAGAUGAGAUAUGGGAGAGGAUGGAGGCCGGGUUUUCCCAGGGCGUCUGUCCCUGAGUCCCACACUUCUAGUGGCUCAAUAGCAAUCCAGGGGGUUCUGGUGGAGAAAAGGGACAUCCCGGGCCCGCACUCCCACACAGCAUUCCUGAGGCACCGGGGUGGCCCUGCCCGUUUCACGGCUCCCUUCUUCCACCCCACAAAUCCCUGUGCAGACUCCUGCAGCCUUAACCACCCCCGCCCCGCCCCAUAUAGCCUUGACCUGUCUCAGUGACAGACCAGGGCCCCCACAUACUGAGGGCUUUCCCUGUACCCAUUUUCAGUGCUGCCUUCUACAUGCACCAGUUCAUUUCAUCCUCUGAAGGAGGCACUAUUCUUAGUUCCACUUUACAGCUAAGGAAACAGGCUUACAGAGGCCCAGGGACUUGCCGCAUCAAAAUUCAAGCCAGAUCUCAUGAUCUUAACCACUGACAGCAUACUGACCCAUUCUAUACACACCCAGCCAAUCUCCCUGUUUUCUUCCCCUCACUACAGACUCUGUAUUUUUUUUGCAUGUUCAGGCACACCUAGGAGAUGUUGCUGAUUUGGUUCCACACUACCACAGUAAAGCAAAUACUGCAAUAAAGUGAGUCCAAUGAAUUUUUUGGUUUCCCAGUGCAUAACAGUUAUACACUAUACUGUAGUUUAUUAAGUGUACAAUGGCAUUAGCAUCUAUAAAAC